rnacentral:sRNA from 1 species
GCGUCCUCAGUCAACUCUAGUAGGCCAUAGGUGAGGUCUCACCUACAGGGUACUUGAUACUAACGUCACUGUAGGGAUUAUUGAACAGUGAUGUUGAGACUAUGUUUUGUUCUCUAGAGCAAUACAUUCUGAAGUGAGAUUUGGCCGCCCAACAAGUAUUUAUAAAGUUGAUGUACACCAGUUCCAACUUCAUCUGUUUUUUUUUGUAGUUUGUGACUAGCUAGAAUGACUCCAAGUUUCAAGUCACGUAUCAGACUGGUUCAAUUGUUCGUUUUGGCUUCACUACUUUAUCAAGCUUGUGAGGUUGGAAGUAGUGAUUGUGUCCAUGGCAUUGGGUUGCCUGAUGGUACCUGUGACUGUUACUCUUGUUGGAAGGGCAAGUCUUGUGACCAGUAUG